rnacentral:piRNA from 1 species
UGGAACAGAACACUCAGAGGGGAUUGC